GACGAACGCUGGCGGCGUGCCUAAUACAUGCAAGUAGAACGCUGAAGAGAGGAGCUUGCUCUUCUUGGAUGAGUUGCGAACGGGUGAGUAACGCGUAGGUAACCUGCCUUGUAGCGGGGGAUAACUAUUGGAAACGCUAGCUAAUACCGCAUAACAAUGGAUGACAUAUGUCAUUUAUUUGAAAGGGGCAAUUGCUCCACUACCAGAUGGACCUGCGUUGUAUUAGCUAGUAGGUGAGGUAAUGGCUCACCUAGGCGACGAUACAUAGCCGACCUGAGAGGGUGAUCGGCCACACUGGGACUGAGACACGGCCCAGACUCCUACGGGAGGCAGCAGUAGGGAAUCUUCGGCAAUGGGUGCAACCCUGACCGAGCAACGCCGCGUGAGUGAAGAAGGUUUUCGGAUCGUAAAGCUCUGUUGUAAGUCAAGAACGGGUGUGAGAGUGGAAAGUUCACACUGUGACGGUAGCUUACCAGAAAGGGACGGCUAACUACGUG
rnacentral:rRNA from 1 species